CCUACGGGGGGCAGCAGUGGGGAAUAUUGCACAAUGGGGGGAACCCUGAUGCAGCGACGCCGCGUGAGUGAAGAAGUAUUUCGGUAUGUAAAGCUCUAUCAGCAGGGAAGAAGAUGACGGUACCUGACUAAGAAGCCCCGGCUAACUACGUGCCAGCAGCCGCGGUAAUACGUAGGGGGCAAGCGUUAUCCGGAUUUACUGGGUGUAAAGGGAGCGUAGACGGCAGGGCAAGUCUGGAGUGAAAGCCCGGGGCUCAACCCCGGGACUGCUUUUGAAACUGCCAUGCUAGAGUGCAGGAGAGGUAAGCGGAAUUCCUGGUGUAGCGGUGAAAUGCGUAGAGAUUAGGAGGAACACCAGUGGCGAAGGCGGCUUACUGGACAGUAACUGACGUUGAGGCUCGAAAGCGUGGGGAGCAAACAGGAUUAGAUACCCGAGUAGUC
rnacentral:rRNA from 1 species